rnacentral:tRNA from 1 species
AGUCCCAUAGUCUAGUGGUCAAGGAUACGAGACUCUGACUCUCGUGACCCAGGUUCGAAUCCUGGUGGGGCUA